AUGAAGAACUGGGAUUCAACAGAGAGAAAUGUGAAGUCUGCCAGCUAGCCCCGAGAAGCAGGCGUGACAGGAGAGGAUGCCCGUGUUACAGAUGAGAAAAAGAGAAGCCCCAGGAGGAAGCUUGCCUAAUGCCACUCAGGAGGUAGAGGCAAAGCUGGGAAAGGCCCUGAGUCCCCAGACUGCCCCUCUGGAACUCCACAUGCAGCCACCUGGCUGUCCUGCCGGGGAUGCCAUCCCCAGGCUAGGCUGGCGCUCACGCCCAUGCCCUGCUGUCCACUGACACCCCGCAGAGCUUAACACCCCGCUGAGCCUGCCCUGCAGUCCUUGUCAAGUCUGUCUGAGUGGCCUCAGUCAUUGGCAAGUCACAUUGCUGACAUCACAACUGCAUAAAAUUAAUUUAUUUAGUUAA
rnacentral:lncRNA from 1 species